rnacentral:rRNA from 1 species
GACGAACGCUGGCGGCGUGCCUAAUACAUGCAAGUAGAACGCUGAAGGGAGAGCUUGCUCUUCUGGAUGAGUUGCGAACGGGUGAGUAACGCGUAGGUAACCUGCCUGGUAGCGGGGGAUAACUAUUGGAAACGAUAGCUAAUACCGCAUAAUAGUAGAUGCUGCAUGACAUUUGCUUAAAAGGUGCAAUUGCAUCACUACCAGAUGGACCUGCGUUGUAUUAGCUAGUUGGUGGGGUAACGGCUCACCAAGGCGACGAUACAUAGCCGACCUGAGAGGGUGAUCGGCCACACUGGGACUGAGACACGGCCCAGACUCCUACGGGAGGCAGCAGUAGGGAAUCUUCGGCAAUGGACGGAAGUCUGACCGAGCAACGCCGCGUGAGUGAAGAAGGUUUUCGGAUCGUAAAGCUCUGUUGUAAGAGAAGAACGAGUGUGAAAGUGGAAAGUUCACACUGUGACGGUAUCUUACCAGAAAGGGACGGCUAGCUACGUGCCAGCAGCCGCGGUAAUACGUAGGUCCCGAGCGUUGUCCGGAUUUAUUGGGCGUAAAGCGAGCGCAGGCGGUUAGAUAAGUCUGAAGUUAAAGGCUGUGGCUUAACCAUAGUACGCUUUGGAAACUGUUUAACUUGAGUGCAAGAGGGGAGAGUGGAAUUCCAUGUGUAGCGGUGAAAUGCGUAGAUAUAUGGAGGAACACCGGUGGCGAAAGCGGCUCUCUGGCUUGUAACUGACGCUGAGGCUCGAAAGCGUGGGGAGCAAACAGG